AUUCCUACGGGAGGCAGCAGUCGGGAAUUUUGCUCAAUGGGCGAAAGCCUGAAGCAGCAACGCCGCGUGAGGGAUGAAGGCCUUCGGGUUGUAAACCUCUUUUUCCAGGGACGAUAAUGACGGUACCUGAAGAAUAAGUCACGGCUAACUACGUGCCAGCAGCCGCGGUAAUACGUAGGUGACAAGCGUUGUCCGGAUUUACUGGGCGUAAAGAGCGCGCAGGCGGUCGUUCAAGUCGAGUGUGAAAGCCCCCGGCUCAACUGGGGAGGGUCAUUCGAUACUGAUCGACUCGAAGGCAGGAGAGGGAAGCGGAAUUCCCGGUGUAGUGGUGAAAUGCGUAGAUAUCGGGAGGAACACCAGUGGCGAAGGCGGCUUCCUGGCCUGUUCUUGACGCUGAGGCGCGAAAGCUAGGGGAGCAAACGGGAUUAGAUACCCCGGUAGUCCUAGCCGUAAACGAUGGACACUAGGUGUUGGUGGUAUCAACCCCACCAGUGCCGAAGCUAACGCAUUAAGUGUCCCGCCUGGGGAGUACGGCCGCAAGAUUAAAACUCAAAGAAAUUGACGGGGGCCCGCACAAGCGGUGGAGCAUGUGGUUUAAUUCGAUGCAACGCGAAGAACCUUACCCGGGUUUGACAUGUACUGGAAGACUCACAGAGAUGUGGUCGCUCGCAAGAGUCGGUACACAGGUGCUGCAUGGCUGUCGUCAGCUCGUGUCGUGAGAUGUUGGGUUAAGUCCCGCAACGAGCGCAACCCUUACCUCUAGUUGCCAGCAUUUAGUUGGGCACUCUAGUGGGACUGCCUGCGUUAAGCAGGAGGAAGGUGGGGAUGACGUCAAGUCCUCAUGGCCCUUAUAUCCGGGGCUACACACGUGCUACAAUGGUGGUCACAGAGGGAAGCCAAGCCGCAAGGUGGAGCAAAUCCCUUAAAAGCCAUCUAAGUUCAGAUUGGUCUCUGCAACUCGAGACCAUGAAGUUGGAAUCGCUAGUAAUCGCG
rnacentral:rRNA from 1 species